CGAAAAUGCUCUGUACAACAGAAAGCAUUUUUCCGACUGACCCGACCUGAAUAUCUGUUCUCCCCCUUUAACCUAGCAUCAUCAUCCGGAAGAUUUGAGUUUCCUCAGGGAAUAAAAUGGAACCAGGAUGAUACAAACCUGAGCUGGGUUCAUGGACAGGUGUCCGCAAACAAUGGUUUGGAUGGUGUGUUGACCCUUCAAGCUACUCCCUCUGUAUUCUACAAUGAGUGUGAGAUAGUGUUUAAACUAGAUUGGAAGGGAGUAGCACAGCUUCCAUCAGAUGUGAAUGUACAGGUGGUUGGACGAAAUGUAUCCAUUCUUCUGCGGACUAAGUACGUGGAUAAGACGAGUGGUGUCCAGCAGUCCUUGGAGACCCUCUACCAGCCCUGUAGCAAGGACAGAAAGGAUGUCUUUCUCACCAAAGACGGGCCUCUCUUUAAACUUAAGGAUGGCGUUUCAAUUUAUCCAGAUUCACCCUUUACCCUGGUCGGGUUACAGGAUCUCAAGGUAAGUGAAUA